CCUACAAAUGCUUGUCCUUCUUUUUCCAGCCUCAGGCUGUCAGCGUAACAGGACUGGGGACAUUUUAUAUCAAAAAAUGUCACUUCUUUGAAAAUGGCAAGAUGAUCACAUUUCAGAAACCUGUGUUUUCGCUGUCCAGGACUGUGGCACAGAUCAGUGAGCUGCAACAUGCUUCCAUACCUGUUCCCGGAGAGAUGAAAAAAGUGUCGGUGAGCUACAAGAAGACCCACUUGGAGGUGCCCUAUUCUGAGAAAGUCGCGCAGCACUGUGUGCAGGAGACCCUGGACUUUCUCUACUUCAUCCUAAAAAAGAAAGAAGAUAUGGACUUUGUUUUAAAGGAUGUUGGCACUCUUGCUAUCCGGGGAACAGAAGUGACAAUGACAUUUUGUGAAGACCUUUUACUAAGCCUCAACAACUCUAGAGACACAGUGGAGAAGUUGCUCACUGUAAGUUUAUUGUUUUUCCAGUGCUACUUAGACUAGGUUUGACAUCCCAUCAAAGGGCUGGGGAACUGAGCUCUGCUGGCCAGCUGUAACCUGCUGGGUCACUUGGACUACUCAUGGUCUGCAGCAGUGAAAGCUUGGUUUAGUGCCUUUCUUUUAUUUGCUGUCAUUCAAGGGUGCUGGGAAGGUACACAGUACUACUUUUGCUGAGCAAGGGAAAGCCCCGGCAGGGCCUUGCCAUAAGGAGGAAAAAGGCCAAAGCAAUGGCAGGGAUGAUGAUGUUCACCCCACGCUCUGGACAUGAGGCUGAGGCGCAGAGACACCAAGGCUUUGCUGAGACCAGCCCCUCGUGGCUGCUGGCACGCUGCCGGUGUAGUUCUCCUGGCCUGACAGAAGAGGAGCCGAUGGCUGGGUUCCUUCACACUGCAGAGGCACGCAAGACUCUUUGGAAGUCUUUGGAAGGGCUCUGGAGAUAACAUCAAUUCCGAACCAUUUGCUCUUGGUUCAGCAAUAGUUAAAGCAAGCCAGUUCACUGCAACCAGCAGCCAGAAACCCAGGCUCGUGGUGAGCCUCCCCUUGUGUUGGCCUCCAUUGAUGUCUUCCCUGGUGAACAAGGAGUCUCCUGCCUGAUGCCAUCAACUCUUGCCCUUGCAAAAAAGCUGGUGACAUUCCUUGCCCUAGCAGAUGAUAUGCUGUGCGGCUUGUUUUGGCAAGGGGCUGAGGCACUUGGCCGGAAGUUUGCUGAGGGGCCGCUAAUUCUUGGAGCUAUGGAAAGGCUGUUGCGAGCAUUGAGUUCAUUGCCCUGGAGUCACAUCAGAUGUUUCUGUCCCUGUUGCAGAAGAAAUUGGUCAUAUCGGACAAAGAAGUCACUCUCUUUCCGAGCCGUUUUGGCCGCGUUCACCAGCUUCCACAGUGAGUAGAUUUGUUUCUGCAGCCCUUACCUGACUGAGCGCAGGGUGCUCUGCUCAUGUUUGGUAGGGCUCUGUCAAGUUACUGGAUUGCAG
rnacentral:lncRNA from 1 species